ACCAAGACCAAGAGCUAUGCUGAGAUCAUGUAGUUUUUUUGUCAGAUUAACAGCUGAUUGCUGGCAUUGUCUGCUGUGCCACCUUUAGAACCAUUCAAAGGAUGCUCUAAGUGCAGGACUGAGUAACCUGGACUGAGGUUUUAAAACCAAAUAAAACCAAAACCUCUCAAGGCGAGGAGAACUGGCCCCCAAGGCAGCACAGCUGUGUUGAUUUUUAAAGGCAGUGUAAACAAGUGCAAGUGCCUGGGGAGUUGCUGAGGUUACCCGAGUGACAGUUUGAGCACUGCAAAGGUUGUUGGGGUUUUUUUGUACAUGAUCGUUGUUUCCCAGCUUUAUUACACCACUUCCAUUUGUGCUGCAAGAUUGAUGUUGGAAAUUCUGUGUAAAUACACUCCAUCAAGAAGCCAUUGUGUCACCUUGAGUUUGUUAAGAUGUUCACUGCAACAUAGCAAAAUUGGCAAAGCCACCAUGGAACAAACCUCCAUGAUUUAUAAAUUACAGAUGUCAAGGCUUUAGGAAAGUUGGUGGAGUACUUUAUGGGUCACCUUUAUUUUUCCUACCGUGGAUGCCUUGCCUCACAUGUUUCCUUUAUGUCAGUCUGUCCAUAUAUUGCAUAUUAUU